AAAGUGUGAGCCCAAUCUGACAGCUUUUUAGUCUGCAGCGAGUUCUCGCUGAACAAAAUCCCUUUGAGAGAAGUCAGAAGGCACUGAAUGGGCUGUUUAUGUGCGAGCAUGCAAUACGUUCCAUGGUGUUUCCCCCCCCGAAGUCUGCAGGCUAUGGGGCAGAAAUGGAAAAGUAAGCACAAACAAGCUGGUUGGGUAAUAACCAUAUCAUUUCACUUCUGUUAUUCCUUUCCUGUGUAUGAUUUAAAGCAGAACUACUGGCACAUUAAAACAGACUGCACUGAACAGAUUGUCUAUGUCUGGAGAUGAUAAUAUAAGUAUAAUAUCCAUAUAUUAUGCUCUAUACUACAGAGCAGUGGUUUCAAAGUGGGGUCUGUGGACCUCUGAACUGUGUUUGCUUUUUGUAAAAACACUACUUUGGAUUUUUAGUCAAGAGAGAAGAAAGGACAAAGCUUCUGACUUCAAAAGCAUUAAAAGACACAUAAGGUUCUUCCUGACCAAGAAAAUGUAAACAGCACAAAUGUCUUUUAAACCAUUUCAUUUGAUCUGAGGUUAAUUUAUGAAGGGGUAUGAGGAGGAAAUGCUGCUAGGAGGACACUGACCUGCCGGAGUCUGGCCAUGGACUCGCUGGAGAUGAUCUCAUUGUGGCUGAGGCGUGUGAUGAAGCACAGUGCCUGGUACUGGUUUUGCCCUCUCUCCAAUUCUCCUAGAAUCAAUGCCCGGAAGAUCUUC